ACUGACUUGGCAGAAAUUUAGUGCGUUAAAUUUAGGAUUUAUGAAUAUUGAUAUUUAUCAUUAGUUAGUA
rnacentral:tRNA from 1 species